rnacentral:rRNA from 1 species
AGCAGCCGCGGUAAUUCCAGCUCCAAUAGCGUAUAUUAAAGUUGUUGCAGUUAAAAAGCUCGUAGUUGAAUUUCGGGGUUAGCAGGUCGGUCGUGCCAUCGGUAUGAACUGGUCUCGCUGAUCCCUCCCUCUUGACGAACUGUGAUGCCAUUAAUUUGGUGUCGCAGGGAAUCAGGGCUGUUACUUUGAAAAAAUUAGAGUGUUUAAAGCAGGCUCACGCUCGAAUACAUUAGCAUGGAAUAAUGAAAUAGGACGUUUGAUCCUAUUUUGUUGGCUUCUAGGAUUGACGUAAUGAUUAAUAGGGAUAGUUGGGGGCAUUAGUAUUCAAUUGUCAGAGGUGAAAUUCUUGGAUUUAUUGAAGACUAACUACUGCGAAAGCAUUUGCCAAGGAUGUUUUCAUUAAUCAAGAACGAAAGUUAGGGGAUCGAAGACGAUCAGAUACCGUCGUAGUCUUAACCAUAAACUAUGCCGACUAGGGAUCGGAUGAUGUCAAUUUAAUGACUCA